GGUUUGUGGUUCAGUGGCAGAGCACUUGCCUGGCAUGCAUGCAUGAGGCAGUGGGUUCCAUCCCCAGCACCA
rnacentral:tRNA from 1 species